UUUAUUAAUGACGUGUCGUGGAUCCUCACAGACACACUCAGACGUUUCCCCUUUUGGUGUCAGUGUCUCACCAAUCAACACCUGGACUUCAAGUAACUAAAGGGGAACUAUGCUGUGACAAAUAUUCUCUGCGCUGGCUACAGUCGCUGAGUGGAUUUGCUGUUGUGGGUCUUCAGAGAAAAACGACGCCUCAGCAGGAUGCCAACGCCAGCACAAAGGAGAUCAAGUGUGGACAGUCUCCAUUGACAAAGUCCAGUCAAGCCCAGUUCCUCCCAGUGUGAAGAACCAUUAAUUCUACCCUGAUGAAUGAACACAGUUCACCUCCGAUAACUGAUCUUUGGCACGUUUCAACACUCAUGCUGAUCUCUGCUUUGCCUUAAUACUGGAUUGUUGUUCAGUACUUGUAAUUAAUGAUGACUUAUCUGAAAAUUCCUUGGGAAGUUGGAUAAUGUCUGACAGCUCGCAAGUGCAACACAAGAACUUCAAUAAAACAAUGUAAAAACA